rnacentral:rRNA from 1 species
CCUACGGGAGGCAGCAGUGAGGAAUAUUGGACAAUGGACGAGAGUCUGAACCAGCCAAGUAGCGUGAAGGAUGACUGCACUAUGGGGUGUAAACUUCUUUUAUAGGGGAAUAAAAUGUGCCACGUGUGGGAUUUUGUAUGUACCAUAUGAAUAAGGAUCGGCUAACUCCGUGCCAGCAGCCGCGGUAAUACGGAGGAUCCGCGCGUUAGCCGGAUUUAGUGGGGUUAAAGGGAGCGUAGUUGGAUUGUUAAGUCAGUUGUGACAGUUUGCGGCUCAACCGUAAAAGUGCAGUUGAAACUGGCAGUCUUGAGUCCAGUAGAGGUGGGCGGAAUUCGUGGUGUAGCGGUGCAAUGCUUCGAUAUCACGAAUAACUCCGAUUGCGCAGGCAGUUCACUUGACUGCAACUGACACUGAUGCUCG